CGAGAAAGCGGGCUUCGGCCCGUGAUUAAAGUGGCGAACUGGUGAGUAACAGGUGGAUAACGUGCCCUGAAGUGGGGAAUAACUCCGGGAAACCGAAGUUAAUACCGCAUACGGCCGGAGGAGCUAAGGUUCUUUCGGUUAAAGGCUUCGGCCGCUCCGGGAUCGGUCCGCCCCCGAUUAGCUUGUUGGUGGGGUAACGGCCUACCAAGGCAACGAUCGGUAGCUGGUCUGAGAGGAUGGUCAGCCACACUGGGACUGAGAUACGGCCCAGACUCCUACGGGGGGCAGCAGUCUAGAGGCUUCGGCAAUGGACGAAAGUCUGACCGAGCGACGCCGCGUGUGGGAUUGAAGGCGCUUCGCGUCGUAAACCACUGUCCUGGGGGAAGAAUGCCUCGAUGGUGAAUCGAGGAGUGACGGUACCUCAGAAGAAAGCCCCGGCUAACUCCGUGCCAGCAGCCGCGGUAAUACGGAGGGGGCCAGCGUUGUUCGGAUUUACUGGGCGUAAAGGGAGCGCAGGCGGCUCGGCAAGUCUGGUGUGAAAUCUUUACCGCUUACCGGAAAGAGGUCAUCGGAAACUGCCGAGCUUGAGUCAGGUAGAGGCAAGCGGAAUUCCUGGUGUAGCGGUGGAAUGUGUAGAUAUCAGGAAGAACAUCGGUGGCGAAGGCGGCUUGCUGGGCCUGUUCUGACGCUGAGGCUCGAAAGCGUGGGGAGCGAACGGGAUUAGAUACC
rnacentral:rRNA from 1 species